CUUUUAAAGGAAACAAGCUAUCCAUUGGCCCUAGGAGCC
rnacentral:tRNA from 1 species